UGAUGAUGGCUGGACUCUGGUCCGACGUGGCAGACGCCGCCAGCUGUUUCGGGACCGGGAUGAUGGGGAUGGGUGGACGGCGAGUGCAUUUCCUGUUUCUUUCGGGAGACAGGUUCAGUUCCCUUUACCUACCCUAACCUUAAUUUUGAAAAUGUCCUAGAACUGUGGGAACAUACGGCCUAAUUUUCAGUGAAAUUUUUUUUUUUAGAAAUUUGUGAACAUAGGGGUGUGGGACCAUUUGACUGUGGGAACAUAGGGCUGACCCAGUUACCUGCCUCAGGAGGGUGGUGUACCAGAAUUUGUUUUUUAUUUCUUGGAAGCUUUUGGGUUCUGGUCCGGUUUUCAGGAGGACACAGUGUGUUUUGAAGAAAGCCUGCCUCCAAUCAAGAGGCAGGGUUUCUGCUAUUUUAUUACAAAGGGUUUCACAUUCUUUUUUCGAUUUCUUAAUUGCCUUUGAUUUUAUUGUCUUUGAUAUUUGCUCCUUAUUUUCCCUUCACUGAGCAUGUAAUUUAAGGUGUUGAUACCUGCUGCCGAUAGGGGGCUGCAGGAGAAGGAGCGGCCCAGGUUUGCGAGCUCUGGGUUGUGGAAGAUGGGGAGCUGUAGGAGCUGUGCUCUGUUUUCACAUCUGCCUUGAGGAGUGGUCGCACGAAUCCCCGGGCCUCAAACAUUUAUUUUUGGAAUGGAUGGAGCCCCCUGGAAAUGUCCCAGGUCCACUCCCAAGACCUUGACACUCUCCUGCCACCUGCCCGGCGACCGCACCACCCCGCCACAGUACAUGAUUCUGAUUUGUUAGUGUUGUUUUUUGCUCCUGAUGCUUUACUGUAAAUUGUAAUGUAUUAAUAUCCUAUCUAUACCGUCUUCAUCCUGUACUCUGAUGUUGGUGCAGUCUGCGUAUUGUAGGACUUUGUUUUGUGAUCCUGUGGGAGAUGUUAUGCCCUUGAUUUCUUUGUCCUGGUUAAUUAAGCAGGUGAGGUGGUUCGGCCGCCAGCUGCCUGUUUUCAGCAAACAAUAAAACAGACUUCAAAAUAA